GUAGGCAUGCAUCUUAGGCAAAUCCGGGGUGCUCUAUGCUGAGAGCUGAUAGCAAGCUGUACUUGUACAGUGAAGUGGCUGAUACCAUGCUUCCAGGAAAAGUCUCUAAGCUUCAGUUACACAGGAAUCGUACCCGAAACCGACACAGGUGGUCAGGUCGAGUAGACCAAAGCGCUUGAGAGAACUCUGCUGAAGGAACUAGGCAAAAUGGUACCGUAACUUCGGGAGAAGGUACGCUGCUGACGGUGAUGGGACUUGCUCCCUGAGCUAUUGGCAGCCACAGAAACCAGGCCGCUGCAACUGUUUAUUAAAAACAUAGCACUCUGCAAACACGAAAGUGGACGUAUAGGGUGUGAUGCCUGCCCGGUGCUGGAAGGUUAAUUGAUGGGGUUAGCGUAAGCGAAGCUCUUGAUCGAAGCCCCAGUAAACGGCGGCCGUAACUAUAACGGUCCUAAGGUAGCGAAAUUCCUUGUCGGGUAAGUUCCGACCUGCACGAAUGGCAUAAUGAUGGCGGCGCUGUCUCCAGCAGAGGCUCAGUGAAAUCGAAAUCGCUGUGAAGAUGCAGUGUACCCGCGGCUAGACGGAAAGACCCCGUGAACCUUUACUGCAGCUUGACAUUGAACUUUGACCUUACUUGUGUAGGAUAGGUGGGAGGCUUUGAAGUUAGAACGCUAGUUCUAAUGGAGCCGUCCUUGAAAUACCACCCUGGUAAUGUUGAGGUUCUAACUCUGCCCCGUAAUCCGGGGCGAGGACCAUGUCUGGUGGGUAGUUUGACUGGGGCGGUCUCCUCCUAAAGAGUAACGGAGGAGUACGAAGGUGCGCUCAGCGUGGUCGGAAAUCACGCGUAGAGUAUAAAGGCAAAAGCGCGCUUAACUGCGAGACCCACAAGUCGAGCAGGUACGAAAGUAGGUCUUAGUGAUCCGGUGGUUCUGUAUGGAAGGGCCAUCGCUCAACGGAUAAAAGGUACUCUGGGGAUAACAGGCUGAUACCGCCCAAGAGUUCAUAUCGACGGCGGUGUUUGGCACCUCGAUGUCGGCUCAUCUCAUCCUGGGGCUGAAGCAGGUCCCAAGGGUAUGGCUGUUCGCCAUUUAAAGAGGUACGCGAGCUGGGUUUAGAACGUCGUGAGACAGUUCGGUCCCUAUCUACCGUGGGCGCUGGAAAUUUGAGAGGAUCUGCUCCUAGUACGAGAGGACCAGAGUGGACGAACCUCUGGUGUACCGGUUGUGACGCCAGUCGCAUCGCCGGGUAGCUAUGUUCGGAAGGGAUAACCGCUGAAAGCAUCUAAGCGGGAAGCCUACCUCAAGAUAAGAUUUCCCUAGGAAUUUAUUCCUCUAAAGAGCCGUUCGAGACUAGGACGUUGAUAGGUUGGGUGUGGAAGCACGGUGACGUGUGAAGCUGACCAAUACUAAUUGCUCGUGAGGCUUGACUAU
rnacentral:rRNA from 1 species